CAAGUCGAGCGGAACGAGUUAUCUGAACCUUCGGGGGACGAUAACGGCGUCGAGCGGCGGACGGGUGAGUAAUGCCUAGGAAAUUGCCCUGAUGUGGGGGAUAACCAUUGGAAACGAUGGCUAAUACCGCAUAAUGCCUACGGGCCAAAGAGGGGGACCUUCGGGCCUCUCGCGUCAGGAUAUGCCUAGGUGGGAUUAGCUAGUUGGUGAGGUAAGGGCUCACCAAGGCGACGAUCCCUAGCUGGUCUGAGAGGAUGAUCAGCCACACUGGAACUGAGACACGGUCCAGACUCCUACGGGAGGCAGCAGUGGGGAAUAUUGCACAAUGGGCGCAAGCCUGAUGCAGCCAUGCCGCGUGUGUGAAGAAGGCCUUCGGGUUGUAAAGCACUUUCAGUCGUGAGGAAGGUAGUGUAGUUAAUAGCUGCAUUAUUUGACGUUAGCGACAGAAGAAGCACCGGCUAACUCCGUGCCAGC
rnacentral:rRNA from 1 species